rnacentral:ribozyme from 13 species
AAAAAUAAGAGAAAAACUAAAAAGAACAGGAGGAAGUGUAAUUGGUCUUUACAUUCUUUAUCGAAUUUACAAUCUUUUUUCUCUCUCUUCUUCUUCUCUU